GGGGGGGAGGAUUUGGUCAGAUCUAGAAGAAUUCGAGUUUUGGGAGAUGUUCUCCACAUCAAUGUCAUGGAUAGCAUCGGCCUCGAUUCCAAGAGGGAGAUCCGUUGGAAGGUGCCUGUCCGUGACAUUGUCGUUUGGGAUCUGAACUGGUACGCCAGAUCUCGUUGAAUCGGAUGAAUUCAGAUCCAUGAUCGUUGGUCACAAUAGAUGUGUUAGUUUCGGUGUUGGAAGGAUCUAUUUUCGUCCCCACAGACGGCGCCAAAUGUGGGUUUCGAAAUCCACACUAGAGAUUUGUAAAUAGAAUUAUGAGAAAGGAGGGAUAGAUCUUAACAAGAACUUUGAGAUUUAUAUUGCUAAGAACGAAUGGACUUUUGUAUUGAUUAUAACAGAGGUUUUACAAUGUGAAAGGAGAUUACAAGUGUAAAAGUAUAAGUGUGAAUGUUAAGCUGAAUGAAUGUGUCUUCCAAGUCUUUCUUGCUUCUUCAUAUAGGUCUACGCACGUGGUAGCUCUGUCCGAGAUCCGCGGAGAUUCUCCUAGAUAUUCGGCAGGUCAGUUCCGAGAUAUCAGGUCCGCUCCGCAAAUAUCUCCCUAUUAGUUUCUAGGUUGUUAUUCGCUUAUCUCCUUUCAUCAGGUGACCGGGCUUGUCAGGCCCAAAUACCAAUUUACGUACAUGGGCUCAUCAGUUGUGCAGGUCCUCUUACUUGGUGGGCUUGGUGGGCUUAUUGGGGUGGCCUGAUAUUUUUGCAGGUGGAUUUUUGGAGGGAAAUCCAGUUCCAACAUCUUGUUUUCCUGGA
rnacentral:sRNA from 1 species